GUGCCAGCAGCCGCGGUAAUACGUAGGCUGCGAGCGUUGUCCGGAAUUAUUGGGCGUAAAGAGCUUGUAGUCGGCUUGUCGCGUCUGCUGUGAAAGCCCGGGGCUUAACUCCGGGUCUGCAGUGGGUACGGGCAGGCUAGAGUGUGGUAGGGGAGACUGGAAUUCCUGGUGUAGCGGUGGAAUGCGCAGAUAUCAGGAGGAACACCGUAUGGCGAAGGCAGGUCUCUGGGCCAUUACUGACGCUGAGAAGCGAAAGCGUGGGGAGCGAACAGGAUUAGAUAUCCUGGUAGUCAAGGCU
rnacentral:rRNA from 1 species